ensembl:lncRNA
CCCACCUGCGCUCGGCGGGGCCGCCCGCCCGCCGCGGGGCUCGGAGCGAGGCGGGGCGGGCGCUGCCCCCCGCGGGGAGCGGCUCCCCCGGCCCGGGGCGACCGGGGUCUGUUUACCGGGGUCUGUUUACCGGGGCCGCCCCGCGGGGCUGGCGGCCCUUGGCCCCGGCGCUGCCCCCGCCCGGGCGCGGCUCGCGGGAAGCGGUUCCGGUAGCGGAGGGGCCCGGCGCGUGUCGCGACAGGGCUGUGUCGCGAGGGCACGGCGAGCCGGCUGGCGGUGCCGCCGAGCGCCCCGCUGCUCGCCCCGGGAGCGAGCACCCCGCGGGGAGUGCCCGGUCUCCCGCCGCUCUCGGCAGCCCCCGCUGCGGAAGGAACCUGCCCGGUAACUUUGCCAGAGAAACCCGCGGAGUGACAGAUCAGUCACCGCUGCCGUGCGUGCGACAUCCCCUGUGGCGGCCCGUGUCUCACGGCUGCUCGGGGACACGGCCGAGCCGGGAACCCGGCACGGCGCAGGGACGCUCAACGGGUGGGACAGUCCUCUCACGUCUCCUCCGUGGCAAACUUUAUCGGGCAGGGAUGCCACUGGAAUGGCAAAAGCUCUGCCAGAUCUGGAGCACCGGCCUUCCUUGCCAGAAGGUAGAUGCAGUGCCGAGACACGGAACGGUGCUGGACUUCUCUGGAAAGUCUUUUCUUAGGUUUUCUGCAGCUCCUGAGACGGCUGCAUAAAUUUGCACUGUAGAUACAGUGAUCUUACGUGGAUGCAGCCAUCAGAGCUGUUGAAAGAGAGCUGAUCCAAUACACCAUCCUGGUGUACCUUGAUAUAUCCACAGACAGGGAAAAAGAAAACAAGACGGGGAAGGAACUUUGGCUGCUGUUGUGUUUUUGGCACAGUCCUACAGUGUUCGGCCAACAGCGAUUACACCAAAGCCAGGGUAUGCUGGAGGGAGCCGUGUCUGAUUACACCAGCUGGAAAGGGAUCCCAAGCCACAUGGCAAACAGUGACAAGUUUGGCAGUGCUCAAGAACAGGAAACCAGAAUGGGAAGAACCCAGUGAGGAAUCGCACUGCGAUGUGCAGGGGCCUUGCCAGUUGCUGCAGCAGAGGAAGCUCUGCAGUGUGAGAGCAUCACGGCUGCACACGAGCAGAGCAGUGUCCAACCAACGCCCGGCUGAUGGCUGUGAGCCCCACACCUGCUGCACUGAGAGGAAUGGGUAAAAGCUUCGGAAACAGGAACAGAAAGGAUCACAGCACACACAGAGCGUUCUCAAAGGAGUUCCCAAGAGCCUGCUUUGUCCCAUGGGGGAUUAUCGUGGAAGCUGUUUCCAAACGCCAGGAACGCUGAGCACCGGGGGAGGGCAGUGGUACCUGGGAGCAGCGGCUGUGGGGGAAGCACGGGGCAGACAGAGCAUCCCACAUCCCCUCGGACAAGCCAAGGGCACAGGAGCAGCUCGGACCGUGGCCUGGGCUGCUCCGGGAGCAGUACAAACAUGAUGGAAGGUGCAGGGGAGGGCUAGAGGGGACAUGAGCUGGUUUGCAAGGCAAAUUGUGAGGGGCUGAUACUUUGGUACUUGUUAAGCUUGGAUGAACGAGAUCUGUACCUGCACUGUGUGGGAACAAAAUAACUGGGCAAAUCCAUUUGAAUAUGAAAGUUUGCCCGUGGCAAUGUGGAAACAAGCAGUGAGUAAAGCACUCAUAAAAGGUGAGGGCUGAGUUUUGCAUCCUGACAUGAAUGUUAAACCUCAGUGGGUGCCAUAGAGUUGAUGCUUUCUUUCACCUUCUGCAAAGGAUUAACUCUCAGCGGGGAUGGCACAGUGGAAUGGUGGGGAAAUAGGAGUAAGUAUGAAAAUGUCACUUUGCAUCUGUUCAGUGAGUUGGGGCUGUGGCUGCCUCCAGCUGUGUCUGCACCAGCUCCAUCAUUCCCAGCUUGGACCCUGAACUGAGUCCCUCGGGCUCAAGGGUCAGAUGCAGGGCAGAGAUUUCUCUUCCUCCCCACGCAGAGCUGGAGCUGAUCCCUGUGUUACUGUAGAGCAAACACCACUGCCAGCUAAGGCUGCCUCAACUUUCACUCGUUUCCCAGUACUUAAAACCCAGACAGUGUAGUCUGAGUAUAUCCAGUCUUGGUGCCUGCCUUGAAUGCUAAAAUUGAACAAGAGAGCUCAAGAAUCAGGUUAGGUUUUACUAAGGAGCUUUGCAACAACGAGGGGGAAAUGGUCUGCAGGUUUGGCUUAGAUAUGGAGCCUAAAUAUCUUUAGCCAUCACUAAUGAUUGGUCCCAUGAGCUGUUGAGGUUUUCCCUCAGGAUGAAACUCCCAUUUCUGUGUCCCACACCUGCAGUGCCAUUUGUAUUUAAAGCCUUUUGCUGUGAUUCUGGGCAGCUGCAACUGAUCAGUUUAGCACUGAAAUUCCAGGUGAUGCACGGUGGAGCUGUUAACAGCCCAGUACACACGUGCUGCCUGUUUUGUCUCUGGAGGGUGGCAGAGACCAGCAGUGUCUGCUCACACUCCAAGCCAUGAGGGAGGCAACAAGGACAAAUGUAUCUUCUAACAGACAUUGACUGUUCUCUAUAACCAUUACAAAUGCCAUUUCUUUUAUUUAAAAUUAUUUUUUUAAAUGCUACAUUUGAUCAGGUCUGCAGUACAGAUGAGAAGAUUCUUUGUAUUUCCUGGAAUGGAUGUCCCUUACCCCAACAAGCACCGAAUCCAAUGGCAGCCCAUUCUAUGCACUGAAAACACUGCUUUAAAACAGUCACUUGCCAAAUAAAGAUUAACAGAGAGUUUUGAGAUUUUAAACUUCAGCCAAAAGUAUUAUUGUAGAAGCCAAGCAACAGCCCUACUCCCAAACUGUUUGCUCCUCCUGUUUUUAAACAUUUUGCUGAAUAAAAGAUUUUUUUGUACAUUCUUCCAACUCUUUGUAUUUCUCAUAUUUAUUCUCUUCUCACAGUUCUUUCCCUUAUGAGGACUUAGCCCCAGAUAGAUCCAUCUGAUCUGCUAAAUGCUAUCUAAAUAUUUACUUUUUACAGCUCAUAAAGAGUCAC